rnacentral:rRNA from 1 species
AAAUUGAAGAGUUUGAUCAUGGCUCAGAUUGAACGCUGGCGGCAGGCCUAACACAUGCAAGUCGAGCGGAAACGAGUUAUCUGAACCUUCGGGGAACGAUAACGGCGUCGAGCGGCGGACGGGUGAGUAAUGCCUAAGGAAAUUGCCCUGAUGUGGGGGAUAACCAUUGGAAACGAUGGCUAAUACCGCAUGAUGCCUACGGGCCAAAGAGGGGGACCUUCGG